AUUGCGGUUUUAACUGUCAGUGUGACCGCUUAUUGUUAGCCACAUAAUUCCAAUAAGAUAUGCAACCGCUUUUAUCAGCGAAAAAUGCAGCGAAUUACCAAUUUCUACCAUUAUGAUUAAGGGAAGUAUUUCUGAUUGGGAAUUUAUAAAUAUGCCAACAAUCAAUUGUUAUUCUGCUUUGCGAGUGUGCCCACAUUAAUGUUGCACAAAAUAUUAGUGCUGCCAGAUAAAUAAAAACAAAUGCAUUGCUGAUAGAAAGCUAAUUGCAUAAGAGUGUGUCAUGUUGCCAGAUCAAUAAAAAAAAUCAGUAGCACAUAAAAGCUGGCUGCUAUUUUACCUGCGCGCGAAUUUGAAUUUAUAGGUACACAUGUGUGUGCACACUGGCUGUACCGUAAAACCCCAACUGUUAAUUAAAUGUUCCGCUUUUAAUUAAA